GGCUUCUAGCUUGCUUGCACGUGUGUAGCGGUGUCUCACCGCCGUCCCUUCCCCUUAUACCCUUGUCUUCUCCUUAGAUUCGGGAGCGAGUGCGAAGGGAGAAGCCGGUGUCAUCUAUUGUUGCAGAAGGUCCCCGCGCGGUGCUCCGAGGGAAUUCCCCCAGGGGUCGAGGAGGUGGCCAGGUACUUUUGCAAACGAAGUUCCCCAACAUAUGUGGAAGACAGGCCCUCCUGCGGUACCUGGGUCCAAAAAGGAGGGUUGAACAAAAGGCUCCGGAGGUGAUGUUUGACUCCUUCCCCUGUAGUCGCCUCCGCCUCCACCACCAGUGCUUAAAAACCUAAUUUUCCAGGGACUCCAAACCACAUCACGUUAAACGUCAUCUCAAUAACUUUUAGUUAGAAGGCAUCCACCUUCCACUAUCACUCCCACUUCGUGAAAACUUUGAUAAGGUUGCAAGUUACAGUCUUCUAAUUUGUGCAUGGGUAUGAUUUCUCUGGCAUGGGGGAGUGAACCUUACUGUUUUCCUAAGUUAAGAGUAUAUUUAUCUGGGCUGGUGAGAGUGUUUACUGCCAAGCCUGAUGACCUGAGGUCAAACCCCAGGACCCAUAUGUUGGAAUGACUAAACUGACUCCAGCAAAUUGUUUUCUGAACCUCCACAUAAGCACGGUGCCACACUUGCUUCCAAAUAAUAAAUAUAAAUAAGUAUGAGUAUAUGAAAAUAAAUAUAAAUAUGUAAAGUAA